rnacentral:rRNA from 1 species
AUUGAACGCUGGCGGCAUGCUUUACACAUGCAAGUCGAACGGCAGCGCGGGCUUCGGCCUGGCGGCGAGUGGCGAACGGGUGAGUAAUACAUCGGAACGUGCCCAGUAGUGGGGGAUAGCUCGGCGAAAGCCGGAUUAAUACCGCAUACGACCUGAGGGUGAAAGCGGGGGAUCUUCGGACCUCGCGCUAUUGGAGCGGCCGAUGGCAGAUUAGCUAGUUGGUGGGGUAAAGGCCUACCAAGGCGACGAUCUGUAGCUGGUCUGAGAGGACGACCAGCCACACUGGGACUGAGACACGGCCCAGACUCCUACGGGGGGCAGCAGUGGGGAAUUUUGGACAAUGGGCGAAAGCCUGAUCCAGCAAUGCCGCGUGUGUGAUGAAGGCCUUCGGGUUGUAAAGCACUUUUGGCGGGAACGAAAAGGACUGUGCCAAGACCACGGUUCGAUGACGGUACCCGCAGAAUAAGCACCGGCUAACUACGU